GAUGAAGAACGUAGCGAAAUGCGAUACUUGGUGUGAAUUGCAGAAUCCCGUGAACCAUCGAGUCUUUGAACGCAAGUUGCGCCCGAAGCCAUUAGGCCGAGGGCACGCCUGCCUGGGCGUCACACGUCGUUGCCCCCCCAUCUACUCCUUCGGGAUUGCGAGGGGCGGAUGAUGGCCUCCCGUGCGCCUCGUCGCGCGGUUGGCAUAAAUGCCAAGUCCUCGGCGACGCACGCCACGACAAUCGGUGGUUGCGAAACCUCGGUUGCCCGUCGUGUGCGGUCGUCGCGCAUCGAGGGCUCGAAAAAAUUGCCGGGCUCCGGCUCGGCUUUCAACGCGACCCCAGGUCAGGCGGGGUUACCCGCUGAAUUUAAGCAUAUCAAUAAGGGAGGA
rnacentral:misc_RNA from 1 species